rnacentral:rRNA from 1 species
AUGCACGCUGGCGGCGUGCCUCAUCCAUGCAAGUCGAGCGAACAGACGAGGAGCUUGCUCCUCUGACGUUAGCGGCGGACGGGUGAGUAACACGUGGAUAACCUACCUAUAAGACUGGGAUAACUUCGGGAAACCGGAGCUAAUACCGGAUAAUAUAUUGAACCGCAUGGUUCAAUAGUGAAAGACGGUUUUGCUGUCACUUAUAGAUGGAUCCGCGCCGCAUUAGCUAGUUGGUAAGGUAACGGCUUACCAAGGCAACGAUGCGUAGCCGACCUGAGAGGGUGGUCGGCCACACUGGAACUGAGACACGGUCCAGACUCCUACGGGAGGCAGCAGUAGGGAAUCUUCCGCAAUGGGCGAAAGCCUGACGGAGCAACGCCGCGUGAGUGAUGAAGGUCUUCGGAUCGUAAAACUCUGUUAUUAGGGAAGAACAAAUGUGUAAGUAACUAUGCACGUCUUGACGGUACCUAAUCAGAAAGCCACGGCUAACUACGUG